rnacentral:lncRNA from 1 species
GUCCAAAUGAUAUAAGGUUGCUUAAAAAGGGUGCAAGGCAAAGAUUUUGGGAUUUAGAUGACCGCCACGUACGCCCCGCGUACGUGCUGACCCUCUGCGUUUAUCCAUGUAUAGUACGCUAAGUGUACUCCUGGAGUAUGCCCAACAUACUUAAGGGACCAUUAUGCUUCAUUUAUUAAUUCAAGGGCAUAAAGAGUAAUUACCUGNUGGCCCAAAAGUCCUUCCUUUACUAAUGGGCCUAAGAUCCAAGUUAAUAGCUAUUAAUGGGUCACAUGGCCCAGUAAGGCCUAACCAAAACAACUAUGGCCCAAAACAGAAAUAAUCAGACCACUAACUCAAAAUGGAACCAGGCCUAAAACUGAAUAAGGCCAAAAGUGCUCACAACCCCACAUGAAGCCCCAACCCAUCUGGGGUGCGUACGCCCAACGUACCACUCCAGUACACUUAGCAUACUGAGCCCCUUAGUUGUACCCGCAACGUACACAAUAGUACGCCCAAUGUACAAGCCAAAUAUGCACCACAACCAUUAAGUGCUUAAUACUUGGGAUUUCAACGUUAAACUUCAUAUCUGAGUCCAUUAAGAUGACCUAAGGCGUAAAGUUGGCAACUUUAUGCCCUUGCAUGCCAUAAGGGUCCCCAAUACCUCAUUCUUCCCAUUAAGACCUCAUUUAAGACCUCAAACGCAUGCAUGGUAUCAAAACAACCUUCAAGAUGACACCUUUAUGCAUCAAGCAUGCUCGAAGAGCUUAGAUCUAACCACCAUAGUCUCUGGAGUUGCUCAACUCACAAGAAAGGGUCCAAGAACCAAAAAGGGACUUCAUAACAAAAGCCUAGAUCAAACUAACAAAAGAGAUGAUAAGGUUAUGACUUUAUACCUCCAGAUGUUCCUCAAGAUAAACUAGAUGCAAGAUCUAGAAGCUCAAUGACACCCAAGACUUGAUCACCACCUUCUCCUUCUUGAAUGCUCUCUAAAAUGUCCACCAAAACACUCUUUAAGCUCAAGAAUCACACUCACAAGAAAAUAUGGGAUUAAGUGACGAAAUGAGGCUAUGGAGGCUGAUUAGGGUUUGGUCCAAAUGAUAUAAGGUUGCUUAAAAAGGGUGCAAGGCAAAGAUUUUGGGAUUUACAUGACCGCCACGUACGCCCCGCGUACAUGCUCGUACGCCCAGCUUACGAGCCCCGACCACCCGAUGCCCUAGUACACGUACGCUAAGCGUACGAAAAAGACCAUUUCUGACAAAAUUGAAAUACUUGAGGGUGAAUAAUGGAAUACCUGGAUUAGAG